UUGCAACCAUUGGGUUAUCUCCACCAAUCAGAUAUUCUUUAGAGCCGGCAGGGUUUGGAAAGAUUAUUUUAUACCCUCAUUUUACAGAUAAAGAACCU